rnacentral:rRNA from 1 species
UACGUAGGGGGCAAGCGUUGUCCGGAAUCAUUGGGCGUAAAGAGCGCGUAGGCGGCCCAGUAAGUCCGCUCUGAAAGUCAGGGGCUCAACCCCUGAAUGCGGGGUGGAUACUCGCUGGGCUAGGAGUCCGGAAGAGGCGGAGUGGAAUUCCUGGUGUAAGCGGUGAAAUGCGCAGAUAGUCAGGAGGAACACCGGUGGCGAAGGCGGGUCUCUGG